CGGCAUGCUUAACACAUGCAAGUCGAACGGCAGCACAGCAGUAGCAAUACUGUGGGUGGCGAGUGGCGGACGGGUGAGUAAUGCAUCGGGAUCUACCCAAACGUGGGGGAUAACGUAGGGAAACUUACGCUAAUACCGCAUACGUCCUACGGGAGAAAGCGGGGGACCGAAAGGCCUCGCGCGGUUGGACGAACCGAUGUGCGAUUAGCUAGUUGGUAGGGUAAUGGCCUACCGAUGCGACGAUCGCUAGCUGGUCUGAGAGGAUGAUCAGCCACACUGGAACUGAGACACGGUCCAUACUCCUACGGGAGGCAGCAGUGGGGAAUAUUGGACAAUGGGCGCAAGCCUGAUCCAGCAAUGCCGCGUGUGUGAAGAAGGCCUUCGGGUUGUAAAGCACUUUUAUCAGGAGCGAAAUACUACUGGCUAAUAACCGGUGGGGCUGACGGUACCUGAGGAAUAAGCACCGGCUAACUUCGUGCCAGCAGCCGCGGUAAUACGAAGGGUGCAAGCGUUAAUCGGAAUUACUGGGCGUAAAGCGUGCGUAGGCGGUUAUUUAAGUCUGUUGUG
rnacentral:rRNA from 1 species